UAUAAAAAGUCUUUAUUAUUUUUAAAAAUUUUAACUAAAAAAAUAUAAAAAAAGAUUAAUAAUACCCAACUAUUUUUCAUUAAACUAAAAUUUAAAAAAUUAUAUAAACUUAACUAAACAUUACACCCCAUUAUCACGACACUUUUUGUUGUUUCUCUCGUUUUUGUGCCCUUAACCAAAAUCAUUCUAUCUUACCAAAAAAAAUCAUCUAGUACAUUAUGUCCUCUCAAGAUUCUGCAUAUGUUUGUUCACAUCCUCUAUUCAGGGAGUCCCUAUUCAGCUUCACUAAUUUCAAAUCUUCACACUUCAAAGCUGCAGAUUUAGAUCCUUUGGGUGGAUAUAUCAGGUCUUCACAAGAAUCAGAAAGAUUGUUUGGAUACAUGAAUCUGAAAUUGACAGCCAAACCAAAAUGAAACUUAUACUCUUUACCAAAGUACAACUUUGUAGUGUUCAUCUAGCCAAAAGAAAUACUACAAGUUUCUCUAAAUAAUAAUCAGUGUAUUCGUACCCUUUUUGUUCCUCUUUUAUACCGAUGGCAAGCGGCAACCUCCAACAUUCGUUCUUCAUUUUCCACUGUCAAACACCAAAACCCAA
rnacentral:lncRNA from 1 species